UACGUAGGGUGCGAGCGUUGUCCGGAAUUAUUGGGCGUAAAGAGCUCGUAGGCGGUCUGUCGCGUCUGCUGUGAAAACCCGAGGCUCAACCUCGGGCCUGCAGUGGGUACGGGCAGACUAGAGUGCGGUAGGGGAGAAUGGAACUCCUGGUGUAGCGGUGGAAUGCGCAGAUAUCAGGAAGAACACCGGUGGCGAAGGCGGGUCUCUGGGCCGUUACUGACGCUGAGGAGCGAAAGCGUGGGGAGCAAACGGG
rnacentral:rRNA from 1 species